rnacentral:rRNA from 1 species
GGGUCAGUAGGUUGGUCGUGCCACCGGUACGUACUGGUCUCACUGAUUCCUCCUUCCUGAAGAACCGUAAUGCCAUUAAUUUGGUGUUGCGGGGAAACAGGACUGUUACUUUGAAAAAAUUAGAGUGUUUAAAGCAAGCUAACGCUUGAAUACAUUAGCAUGGAAUGAUGAAAUAGGACGAUCGAUCCUAUUUUGUUGGUUUCUAAGAUUGACGUA